UACGUAGGGGGCUAGCGUUGUCCGGAAUCAUUGGGCGUAAAGAGCUCGUAGGCGGCUCAGUAAGUCAGAUGUGAAAACUCAGGGCUCAACCCGGAGACGCCAUCUGAUACUGCUGUGGCUUGAGUCUGGUAGGGGAUCACGGAAUUCCUGGUGUAGCGGUGAAAUGCGCAGAUAUCAGGAGGAACACCGAUGGCGAAGGCAGUGAUCUGGGCCAGUACUGACGCUGAGGAGCGAAAGCGUGGGUAGCAAACAGG
rnacentral:rRNA from 1 species